rnacentral:lncRNA from 10 species
GUGCGCCUCCUCACACGCCUGCAGUUCACCACCACCGUGGUCUCCUGCUGUCCCGCGGAGCUGCAGACUGAAGGGAGCAACGGCAAGAAAGAAGUGCUGAGCGGUUUCCAAGUGGUGCUGGAAGACACAGUGCUUUUCCCUGAGGGCGGGGGACAGCCUGAUGACCGUGGUACAAUCAAUGACAUCUCUGUGCUGAGAGUGACUCGCCGUGGGGAACAGGCUGAUCAUUUCACCCAGACACCCCUGGAUCCAGGAAGCCAGGUUCUGGUCCGGGUAGAUUGGGAGCGGAGGUUUGACCACAUGCAGCAGCAUUCAGGUAAAGGCUGGGAUGGGGGACAUAACACCGGAGCAGUUGCCAUGUAUGGGGAUGCUGUGAUGACUGAGACGUAGUUUGGGUUCUCUAGGAGUUAACCUUUUGGAAAAGACAGACUAUUCAGAAUCAGCUGUAAUUCAGGAAGGAUAUCCUAAAUGUUAUAACAGCAACAUGAACAACUGAAGUAAAAAAAAGUAUUAGAAUAACUGCUGGAUUUAGGUAUUAUCAACUUCCCACUCGAUAUCUCCAUCUG